UCACGUUUAUGGAUGUAAAGACGCACCACGC
rnacentral:piRNA from 1 species